rnacentral:rRNA from 1 species
CGAGCGAGUGGCGAACGGGUUGAGUAACGCGUGAGGAACCUGCCUCAAAGAGGGGGACAACAGUUGGAAACGACUGCUAAUACCGCAUAAGCCCACGGUGCCGCAUGGCACAGAGGGAAAAGGAGCAAUCCGCUUUGAGAUGGCCUCGCGUCCGAUUAGCUAGUUGGUGAGGUUAAACGGGCCCACCAAGGCGACGAUCGGUAGCCGGACUGAGAGGUUGAACGGCCACAUUGGGACUGAGACACGGCCCCAGACUCCUACGGGAGGCAGCAGUGGGGAAUAUUGUACAAUGGGGAAACCCUGAUGCAGCGACGCCGCGUGGAGGAAGACGGUUUUCGGAUUGUAAACUCCUGUUCUUAGUGAAGAAUAAUGACGGUAGCUAAGGAGCAAGCCACGGCUAACUACGUG